AAAAUUCAAAGUCACCCCCAUUGCUUCCUCUAUAAAAUUGUAUUACCCAUUUUGUGGGUGAUGAGGAUUUACUGGAUUUGAAGACCGAAAGAAAAGAGAGAAUCGUAAAAGCAGAAUAGAGGAGUACUGGUAUUUGGUUGAUGGUCUCAUGGGUGCGACGGGUUCCAAGCUCGAGAAAGCCCUCGGAGACCAGUUUCCCGAAGGUGAACGAUACUUUGGUCUCGAAAAUUUUGGCAACACUUGUUAUUGCAACAGCGUCUUGCAGGCUUUAUACUUCUGUGUCCCCUUCCGUGAGCAACUGCUAGAGUAUUAUGCAAAUAAUAAAGGUCCUCCAGAAGCUGAGGAGAAUCUCUUAACUUGUCUGGCUGAAUUGUUCUCACAGAUAAGUUCACAGAGGAAGAAAACAGGUGUUAUAGCUCCAAGGCGCUUUGUACAAAGAGUUAGGAAGCAAAAUGAACUUUUCCGAGGUUACAUGCAUCAGGAUGCCCAUGAGUUUUUGAACUUCUUGUUGAAUGAACUCGUUGAUAUCUUGGAGAAAGAGUCACAUGGAGCAAAAAGUUCAGCAGCAACUUCUCCUGAAAAAGUCUCAAAUGGUACAUGCAAUGGUCAUGCGAAUGACGUUAAGGAGGAGCCACUUGUUACCUGGGUGCACAAAAAUUUUCAGGGUAUAUUAACCAAUGAAACAAGAUGUUUGAGGUGUGAGACAGUCACAGCUAGGGAUGAGACAUUUUUUGAUUUGAGCCUUGAUAUUGAACAAAACAGUUCAAUUACAAGCUGCCUAAAAAAUUUCAGUUCUACAGAGACCCUCAAUGCAGAGGACAAAUUUUUCUGUGACAAGUGUUGUAGCUUGCAAGAAGCACAAAAACGGAUGAAGAUAAAGAAACCUCCACACAUCCUGGUCAUUCAUUUGAAGCGCUUCAAGUAUAUGGAACAAUUAGGUCGUUACAAAAAAUUGUCUUACCGCGUUGUGUUUCCUCUGGAGCUAAAACUCAGCAACACCACUGAGAACACAGAUUCUGAGUAUUCUCUAUUUGCUGUUGUGGUUCAUGUCGGAAGUGGGCCAAACCAUGGGCAUUAUGUUAGUCUUGUGAAAAGCCACAACCACUGGUUGUUCUUUGAUGAUGAGAACGCGGAGAUCAUUGAUGAGUCUGCUGUUCAGACCUUUUUUGGCUCAGCUCAAGAGUACUCCAGCAAUACAGAUCAUGGCUAUAUCCUCUUUUAUGAGAGCCUUGCAGCAAGCAAGAGCUGAAAAUAGUACUCACAUGUUGAGACCUAACUGUUGGUGUAUGUGUCUGCUCAACUUUUGUCGUGUUUAACUUUACGGUUCAAUGUUCGAGACACAAGGGGUUGCUAGCGUUUUGACUUGUUUUAACAAUAAAGAGAUGUAAAUCUUGGUAUAGAAACUUUAAUUAGAUGUCGAAACUGUUUUGUUAGCUAUGUAACUGCAACAACUUCCAGUGAACUCCAUUGGCAGAAGGAAGCAGGAAUAAGUCAAGUUUCUCCUUUGUGUAAUUUCAAUCUGAAAAACACUGCUUCUGUG
rnacentral:misc_RNA from 1 species